CUCUCUCCCCUUUUUCCACAUAUCCCUCCAAUCUUACCAGACCUCUUAAUGGAAGUAUUGAGAUACUGUUUGGAUGGCCUCCUUGGGGACUCUCUUUGCAUGUUUUGUGUAUACGUUUGCUAUUUUGCAUAUAUUUCUAUGAGCAUGUGGUUGUGGUAGACUAUAUUGGCAUCAUUUAUGGAUCAAAACUAGUGUGAUUGUGUCUCAGUAGAUGUACAUGUAAUUUAUGCAUCAUGUGAAGUGGUGUCUUUUAUGGCUUGCCAUUGAAGAAUGUUUUAGAGCAUAAAUUGGUUUUGUUACUAGUAGAAUUAUCAGCUUCAUUUACCAAGUGUGUUUUGUAUUUUAUUUUACCUUUUUUUUCUCAUAUUUUUUGAUAAAAAACUAAUAUUAAUUUAUGAGACUUAGAAAGAGAUGGAAUUACCAAAAGCAGGAGGAUAAGGAAUCCUCCUCAAGAUAAAACAAGAGAUAAGUGAAAAUAGAAAAUAAAGCAAAUAUCUCAAUCAUGCAAGAUGCCCACAAUGGAAAGCCCUUUAAACCCUUAAUAAGACAUGUACAUAUGAAAACCCAAAAAUGAAUCUUUCUUUUUGUUUUAUUUUUUAAACCCAUAAUAGAUUAAAUGGCAAAAGUUUAUUAUUGGAAGUAUUAGUGUUCCUCUUCUCCAAUGAUACCAAAGCACCACAACUGUAGCCUAGUAUUACAAGGUUCGUGCACCUCCAUGCACCAACUUGUAGUUUUUAUAGGCUGACUAUGCCUGUCUUAUUAAUUAUAUACUUAACAAUCCUCUUCCAUAGUCUUCGUAAAAUUUCUCAUCCUCUACAAGCAAAGACCCACAAGAAUUGAAAAUAAAGGAAGAAGAUGAAGUGGAACAAUGGAUAAGCAAUCCUAAAAGGUUUAUAUGCUCUCCAAAAGAG
rnacentral:misc_RNA from 1 species